UAACUCUGGUGUCUCCUCAUUUGCGGAUAAAUCUUUCGCCUUUUACUAAAGAUUUCCGUGGGGAGGCACAAUACAAUGAGAUCAACGAUUGAUUUAUACGCCAUUUGUUCCCUCAGGAUAC
rnacentral:snRNA from 1 species